UGGGGAAUCUUCCGCAAUGGACGAAAGUCUGACGGAGCAACGCCGCGUGAGUGAUGACGGCCUUCGGGUUGUAAAGCUCUGUUAAUCGGGACGAAUGGUUCUUGUGCAAAUAGUGCGAGGAUUUGACGGUACCGGAAUAGAAAGCCACGGCUAACUACGUGCCAGCAGCCGCGGUAAUACGUAGGUGGCAAGCGUUGUCCGGAAUUAUUGGGCGUAAAGCGCGCGCAGGCGGAUUGGUCAGUCUGUCUUAAAAGUUCGGGGCUUAACCCCGUGAUGGGAUGGAAACUGCCAAGCUAGGGUAUCGGAGAGGAAAGUGGAAUUCCUAGUGUAGCGGUGAAAUGCGUAGAUAUUAGGAAGAACACCAGUGGCGAAGGCGACUUUCUGGACGAAAACUGGCGCUGAGGCGCGAAAGCCAGGGGAGCGAACGGG
rnacentral:rRNA from 1 species